CCUACGGGUGGCUGCAGUGGGGAAUAUUGGACAAUGGGGGCAACCCUGAUCCAGCCAUGCCGCGUGUGUGAAGAAGGCCCUCGGGUUGUAAAGCACUUUCAGUGAGGAAGAACGCCUGGUGGUUAAUACCCAUCAGGAAAGACAUCACUCACAGAAGAAGCACCGGCUAACUCCGUGCCAGCAGCCGCGGUAAUACGGAGGGUGCGAGCGUUAAUCGGACUUACUGGGCGUAAAGCGCGCGUAGGUGGCUUGAUAAGCCGGUUGUGAAAGCCCCGGGCUCAACCUGGGAACGGCAUCCGGAACUGGCAAGCUAGAGUGCAGGAGAGGAAGGUAGAAUUCCCGGUGUAGCGGUGAAAUGCGUAGAGAUCGGGAGGAAUACCAGUGGCGAAGGCGGCCUUCUGGACUGACACUGACACUGAGGUGCGAAAGCGUGGGUAGCAAACAGGAUUAGAUACCCCAGUAGUC
rnacentral:rRNA from 1 species